UACGUAGGCAGCGAGCGUUGUUCGGAAUUACUGGGCGUAAAGAGUGUGUAGGCGGUGCUCUAAGUUCGGUGUGAAAUCUCCUGGCUCAACUGGGAGGGUGCGCCGGAAACUGGAGUGCUUGAGCGUGGGAGAGGAAGCGGAAUUCCUGGUGUAGCGGUGAAAUGCGUAGAUAUCAGGAGGAACACCUGUGGUGUAGACGGCUUUCUGGACCAUAGCUGACGCUGAGACACGAAAGCGUGGGUAGCAAACAGG
rnacentral:rRNA from 1 species